GUGCCAGCCGCCGCGGUAAUACCGGCAGCUCGUGUGAUGGCCACUCUUAUUGGGCCUAAAGCGUCCGUAGCUGGCCGCGCAAGUCCAUCGGAAAAUCCACCCGCCCAACGGGUGGGCGUCCGGUGGAAACUGCGUGGCUUGGGACCGGAAGGCGCGACGGGUACGUCCGGGGUAGGAGUGAAAUCCCAUAAUCCCGCACGGACCACCGAUGGCGAAAGCACUUCGAGAAAACGGAUCCGACAGUGAGGGACGAAAGCCAGGGUCUCCAACCGGAUUAGAUACCCCGGUAGUCC
rnacentral:rRNA from 1 species